rnacentral:rRNA from 1 species
UACGAAGGGAGCUAGCGUUGUUCGGAAUCACUGGGCGUAAAGCGCACGUAGGCGGAUUUGUCAGUCAGGGGUGAAAUCCCGGGGCUCAACCUCGGAACUGCCUUUGAUACAGCAAGUCUUGAGUUCGAGAGAGGUGGGUGGAAUUCCUAGUGUAGAGGUGAAAUUCGUAGAUAUUAGGAAGAACACCCGUGGCGAAAGCGGCUCUCUGGAACGGUACUGACGCUGAGACGCGAAAGCGUGGGGAGCGAACGAGG